AAGGAAGCUCUUGAUGAUUUCGAGUCGAGAGAUUCAAGCUCCAUGUUGAGAACAAGCAGCUAUUAUGAGCUACAACUCUCCAAAGUGUAUACGAACGAAAUAUUCAGGAAAUUCCAAGAAGAGGUGGCGAUGAUGACCUCGUGUUUUAGCAUCACACAGAUUCAUGCCAAUGGGUCAGUAGUUACAUAUAUGAUCAAAGAACGUGAGGCUGAGGAGAAUCUGAGCAAUGUUAGAAAUUUGGAGGUAUUGUAUGAUAAAUCAGGAGCAGAAGUUCGGUGCAAUUGUGGUUGUUUUAACUUCAAAGGUUACCUGUGCCGACAUGCGUUGUGCAUUCUGCACUACAAUGGGGUGGAGGAAAUCCCUUACCAAUAUAUUUUGGCAAGAUGGAGGAAGGAUUUUAAGCGGCUAUAUGUACCAGAUCUUGGGUCCAACAAUGUCGAUAUUGCUAACCCAGUUCAGUGGUUUGAUCAUCUGUACAAACGAGCAAUGCAAGUUGUUGAGGAAGGGAUGAUAUCUCAAGAUCAUUAUAUGGUUGCUUGGCAAGCUUUUAAAGAAUCUUUGAAUAAGGUCCGUCUUGUAGCAGACAAGCAUGUACAAAUUGAUCAUUAAUGAAAUCCAAAAUUUUUUUUUAGAAC
rnacentral:misc_RNA from 1 species